UACGGAGGGUGCAAGCGUUGUCCGGAUUUAUUGGGUUUAAAGGGUGCGUAGGCGGGCUAAUAAGUCAGUGGUGAAAGUCUUGGGCUCAACCGAAGGAUUGCCAUUGAUACUGUUAGUCUUGAGUAAAGUCGAGGUAGGCGGAAUUUAUGGUGUAGCGGUGAAAUGCAUAGAUACCAUAAGGAACACCGAUAGCGAAGGCAGCUUACUAGACUAUAACUGACGCUGAGGCACGAAAGCGUGGGGAGCGAACAGG
rnacentral:rRNA from 1 species